AAUAGAUACCCCGGUAGUCCACGCCGUAAACGUUGGGCGCUAGAUGUGGGGGCCAUUCCACGGUUUCCGCGUCGUAGCUAACGCAUUAAGCGCCCCGCCUGGGGAGUACGGCCGCAAGGCUAAAACUCAAAGGAAUUGACGGGGGCCCGCACAAGCGGCGGAGCAUGCGGAUUAAUUCGAUGCAACGCGAAGAACCUUACCAAGGCUUGACAUAUACGAGAACACUGCAGAAAUGUAGGACUCUUUGGACACUCGUAUACAGGUGGUGCAUGGUUGUCGUCAGCUCGUGUCGUGAGAUGUUGGGUUAAGUCCCGCAACGAGCGCAACCCUCGUCGCAUGUUGCCAGCACGUAAAGGUGGGAACUCAUGUGAGACUGCCGGGGUCAACUCGGAGGAAGGUGGGGAUGACGUCAAAUCAUCAUGCCCCUUAUGUCUUGGGCUUCACGCAUGCUACAAUGGCCGGUACAAAGGGCUGCAAUACCGUAAGGUGGAGCGAAUCCCAAAAAGCCGGUCUCAGUUCGGA
rnacentral:rRNA from 1 species